UACGAAGGGGGCUAGCGUUGCUCGGAAUCACUGGGCGUAAAGCGCACGUAGGCGGACUCUUAAGUCGGUGGUGAAAUCCUGGAGCUCAACUCCAGAACUGCCUUCGAUACUGAGAGUCUCGAGUCCGAGAGAGGUGAGUGGAACUGCGAGUGUAGAGGUGAAAUGCAUUGAGAUCGGAAAGAACACCAACGGCGAAAGCACUCUGCUGGGCCGACACUGACACUGAGAGACGAAAGCUAGGGGAGCAAAUGGG
rnacentral:rRNA from 1 species